rnacentral:rRNA from 1 species
UACGUAGGGGGCAAGCGUUGUCCGGAUUUAUUGGGCGUAAAGAGCGUGUAGGCGGCCAAGCAGGUCAGCUGUGAAAACUCGAGGCUCACCUCGAGACGUCGGUUGAAACCGCUUGGCUAGAGUCCGGAAGAGGAGAGUGGAAUUCCCGGUGUAGCGGUGAAAUGCGCAGAUAUCAGGAGGAACACCGGUGGCGAAGGCGGUUCUCUGGGCAUUACCUGACGCUGAGGAGCGAAAGUGUGGGGAGCGAACAGG